GUUUUCAUAGUUGAAUACAACAGUAGUUUUUCAGACUGCAAGUCUAGGUUAAAAUCCUGGUGGAAAUU
rnacentral:tRNA from 1 species